AGCACGAAGGCAAAGGAGGCCAAGAGGAAGUGGGGACUGGGUAGACACCAUUGCAAAGGCUUUCGCUGAAAAUCUGAGCAAAACUGAGAGACACUAGCUCAAGGACGGGUGGUGCAGUGUUAAAGAAGAGGAGCUUGUUUUGGGUUGAUUGAGUCAGUAGGGGAAAUAUGACAGGAGAGAUGGUGACAGAGGAGUCACUGGAGCCAUGUUCGUAAGGAAACAGGAGAGAUUAGCUCCAGAACCCAAGUGUGAAGGGCAGCUACUGCCUAGAAUACGUGCAGUUCUUCCUGGGGACCCGCCACCUCCCUGUUCACAUAGAAAGCAACUUUCUGCUGCUGGAGUCAGAAAAAUAUUCCUUCCACACAACACCCUGAAAACAACACCCCGGAAUACUACUAUGAUGAAAUAUGCAUAGAUUUUAAAGGAUAAAACUUACCCAUUAAAAAUGAGUAACAAUUCCAAUAACAAUGAUGAUUGGAAAUUAAUAAUAAAAUCAAAUUACACUUGAAAUCAUUGAAUAAGAGACUGUGAAAUAAGCCAAAAGUAAAGAACAAAAUGUAAAGGGGGGACUAUGAUAUGAGAUGGGAUUCAGAGAGAGUGAAUAAUGCAACAAACUGAAAAGGUAGAGUCUAAGAGGGAAAGCUUGUUGUUAUUAAGGAACAAAAAUUCCAAAUAGGAGAAUUGAAAUGCUGUGCAUAUAAGAAGUGGAGUUAAGAUUUUGUAAGGCACGAAAAAGCUUGAGAAGAGACAAGAAGUAAGAUCCCUGACUAUGAAAAAGGAGAGGCUGCAGAAAAGGGAUUACCUUUCCUGUUGUGGAUCUUCUAUUGGUACCUAGAGGCCAUGUCUCUUGCUGGCACAGAAUCUAGAAAAAUUCCCCACCCCACAUUCUCUCCUUGUUGCCAGAAAAUUGGGGGAGAAAAGGUCCAAGCAAAGUAUCCUGGCAUUUUCUAAAAAGCAUGACAAGACCAGAGUGGAUGGAUGUGUAGAAACAGAAGGGAUGCUGAAGAUGCAGCCACCUGAUGGAAGAUCCAGACAGUGCCAAGUCUAGAGGCUGCCCCGGUGGAAGGGCCUGCUGCAGAAAGAAGGCUCCUGAGCUGGGCCUCAUCCACAGCCCCUUUUCUAUCAGCUUCUGCUAGGCCUCCCUUCACCCUGGUCUCCUCACGUGUUCUCUUCUUUCUUCUCUUUCCUGCUGACAUCUUUCUUCUCUCUUUCAAGCCAGCAGUCAAUUAUCUUGGGGCUCUAGACUAGUUUUGAUAUCACAGUCCUGUGAAUGGACAGAAGGUAGCCAUCAUUCCAGUUCUGUAUCUGUUAAAUAGUUGAGAUAUUACUGAAAAAUUUACUUUUACCAACCACUUUACUAGGCAUUAAAACGUUAAAGUAAGCUUCAAGAGAUGAGUAUCUUAUCCCAUGAGACUCACCGAUGGCAAUUCUGACACUGAACAGACAAUUACACCAAGGGAUAAAUAAGAACAAGGAGAGUGGAGAACAAGCCAUUCGGGCAAUGUCAGCUCCUGUUUGAAGGAGUCUGGAGAAGUCACAUCCUGAGGAAACAGGGCCAGCAGGAGGAGCAGAAGCUGUGGCUGGGAGGCAGCAGCCACAUGGAGCUUCCCGGCCUGGUCCCCUGAAAUCAUAAAAUGCACACAGCAUGAGCUGCUCCUCAGCCCAUGGGCAGCCUAUGCAGCACAAACCCUGGUGUACAACUUGAAGUAAGAAAUUUUCACAGGACAUCAAGUCUGGGAUCACCUUGAGGGGCAAGAGUGUAACAGUGUAACUCUGGCACACUGUUCUGUCUCGUGGAAACGAGGUGAUCCACCCUGCCACUUAGGGUUACCAGAGAGGAUGGAGACACUCCGGAACCGAGUCCAGCACUGCAGCCCCUGACCACACAUUUCUCCUGAGCACGUGCAGUGGGGCUGGUGAAUGAGGAAGAG